rnacentral:rRNA from 1 species
GAUGAACGCUGGCGGCGUGCCUAAUACAUGCAAGUCGAGCGAACGGACGAGAAGCUUGCUUCUCUGAUGUUAGCGGCGGACGGGUGAGUAACACGUGGAUAACCUACCUAUAAGACUGGGAUAACUUCGGGAAACCGUAGCUAAUACCGGAUAAUAUUUUGAACCGCAUGGUUCAAAAGUGAAAGACGGUCUUGCUGUCACUUAUAGAUGGAUCCGCGCUGCAUUAGCUAGUUGGUAAGGUAACGGCUUACCAAGGCAACGAUGCAUAGCCGACCUGAGAGGGUGAUCGGCCACACUGGAACUGAGACACGGUCCAGACUCCUACGGGAGGCAGCAGUAGGGAAUCUUCCGCAAUGGGCGAAAGCCUGACGGAGCAACGCCGCGUGAGUGAUGAAGGUCUUCGGAUCGUAAAACUCUGUUAUUAGGGAAGAACAUAUGUGUAAGUAACUGUGCACAUCUUGACGGUACCUAAUCAGAAAGCCACGGCUAACUACGUGCCAGCAGCCGCGGUAAUACGUAGGUGGCAAGCGUUAUCCGGAAUUAUUGGGCGUAAGCGCGCGUAGGCGGUUUUUUAAGUCUGAUGUGAAAGCCCACGGCUCAACCGUGGAGGGUCAUUGGAAACUGGAAAACUUGAGUGCAGAAGAGGAAAGUGGAAUUCCAUGUGUAGCGGUGAAAUGCGCCGAGAUAUGGAGGAACACCAGUGGCGAAGGCGACUUUCUGGUCUGUAACUGACGCUGAUGUGCGAAAGCGUGGGGAUCAAACAGGAUUAGAUACCCUGGUAGUCCACGCCGUAAACGAUGAGUGCUAAGUGUUAGGGAGUUUCCGCCCCUUAGUGCUGCAGCUAACGCAUUAAGCACUCCGCCUGGGGAGUACGACCGCAAGGUUGAAACUCAAAGGAAUUGACGGGGACCCGCACAAGCGGUGGAGCAUGUGGUUUAAUUCGAAGCAACGCGAAGAACCUUACCAAAUCUUGACAUCCUUUGACAACUCUAGAGAUAGAGCCUUCCCCUUCGGGGGACAAAGUGACAGGUGGUGCAUGGUUGUCGUCAGCUCGUGUCGUGAGAUGUUGGGUUAAGUCCCGCAACGAGCGCAACCCUUAAGCUUAGUUGCCAUCAUUAAGUUGGGCACUCUAAGUUGACUGCCGGUGACAAACCGGAGGAAGGUGGGGAUGACGUCAAAUCAUCAUGCCCCUUAUGAUUUGGGCUACACACGUGCUACAAUGGACAAUACAAAGGGCAGCGAAACCGCGAGGUCAAGCAAAUCCCAUAAAGUUGUUCUCAGUUCGGAUUGUAGUCUGCAACUCGACUACAUGAAGCUGGAAUCGCUAGUAAUCGUAGAUCAGCAUGCUACGGUGAAUACGUUCCCGGGUCU